ACGAACGCUGGCGGCGUGCUUAACACAUGCAAGUCGCACGGAAAGGCCCUGCUUUUGUGGGGUGCUCGAGUGGCGAACGGGUGGGUAACACGUGAGUAACCUGCCCUUGACUUUGGGAUAACUUCAGGAAACUGGGGCUAAUACCGGAUAGGAGCUCCUGCUGCAUGGUGGGGGUUGGAAAGUUUCGGCGGUUGGGGAUGGACUCGCGGCUUAUCAGCUUGUUGGUGGGGUAGUGGCUUACCAAGGCUUUGACGGGUAGCCGGCCUGAGAGGGUGACCGGCCACAUUGGGACUGAGAUACGGCCCAGACUCCUACGGGAGGCAGCAGUGGGGAAUAUUGCACAAUGGGCGGAAGCCUGAUGCAGCAACGCCGCGUGCGGGAUGACGGCCUUCGGGUUGUAAACCGCUUUCGCCUGUGACGAAGCGUGAGUGACGGUAAUGGGUAAAGAAGCACCGGCUAACUACGUG
rnacentral:rRNA from 1 species